rnacentral:rRNA from 1 species
UACGUAGGGGGCGAGCGUUGUCCGGAUUCAUUGGGCGUAAAGAGCUCGUAGGCGGCUUGUCAAGUCGGGUGUGAAACCUCCAGGCUCAACCUGGAGACGCCACUCGAGACUGUCAUGGCUAGAGUCCGGUAGGGGAUCACGGAAUUCCUGGUGUAGCGGUGAAAUGCGCAGAUAUCAGGAGGAACACCGAUGGCGAAGGCAGUGAUCUGGGCCGAUACUGACGCUGAGGAGCGAAAGCGUGGGGAGCAAACAGG